rnacentral:rRNA from 1 species
GCAUAUCAAUAAGCGGAGGAAAAGAAACCAACAGGGAUUGCCUCAGUAGCGGCGAGCGAAGCGGCAACAGCUCAAAUUUGAAAUCUGGCCUCACGGUCCGAGUUGUAAUUUGUAGAGGAUGUUUCGGGCGUGGUCUGGUCUAAGUUCCUUGGAACAGGACGUCAUAGAGGGUGAGAAUCCCGUAUGUGACCGGGUGCCUAAGCUCAUGUGAAACUCCUUCGACGAGUCGAGUUGUUUGGGAAUGCAGCUCAAAAUGGGUGGUAAAUUUCAUCUAAAGCUAAAUACUGGCCAGAGACCGAUAGCGCACAAGUAGAGUGAUCGAAAGAUGAAAAGCACUUUGGAAAGAGAGUUAAACAGCACGUGAAAUUGUUGAAAGGGAAGCGUUUACAAUCAGACUUGCGCGCGGCUGAUCAUCCGGUGUUCUCACCGGUGCACUCGGCCGCGCUCAGGCCAGCAUCGGUCUCGGUGGUUGGACAAAGGCCGUGGGAACGUGGCUCUUCGGAGUGUUAUAGCCCACGGUGCCAUACAGCCUACCGGGACCGAGGACCGCGCUUCGGCUAGGAUGCUGGCGUAAUGGUUGUCAACGACCCGUCUUGAAACACGGACC